GAUGAACGCUGGCGGCGUGCCUAAUACAUGCAAGUCGAGCGAACAGACGAGGAGCUUGCUCCUCUGACGUUAGCGGCGGACGGGUGAGUAACACGUGGAUAACCUACCUAUAAGACUGGGAUAACUUCGGGAAACCGGAGCUAAUACCGGAUAAUAUAUUGAACCGCAUGGUUCAAUAGUGAAAGACGGUUUUGCUGUCACUUAUAGAUGGAUCCGCGCCGCAUUAGCUAGUUGGUAAGGUAACGGCUUACCAAGGCAACGAUGCGUAGCCGACCUGAGAGGGGGAGCGGCCACACUGGAACUGAGACACGGUCCAGACUCCUACGGGAGGCAGCAGUAGGGAAUCUUCCGCAAUGGGCGAAAGCCUGACGGAGCAACGCCGCGUGAGUGAUGAAGGUCUUCGGAUCGUAAAACUCUGUUAUUAGGGAAGAACAAAUGUGUAAGUAACUAUGCACGUCUUGACGGUACCUAAUCAGAAAGCCACGGCUAACUACGU
rnacentral:rRNA from 1 species